rnacentral:rRNA from 1 species
AACAGGAUUAGAUACCCGGGUAGUCACGCCGUAAACGAUGAAUACCAGCCGUUGGCGAGCUUGCUGAUCAGUGGCGCAGCUAACGCGCAUAAGCAUUCCGCGUGGGAGUACGGUGGCAAGAUUAAAAAUCAAAGGAAAUGACGGGGGCCCGCACAAGCGCUGGAGCAUGUGUUGUAUUUUGAAGCAACGCGCAGAGCACUACCAGCGUCCGACACGUCCGGUAUGGAUCCCGGAGACAGGUUCGUUCAGUUCGGAAGGCAGGAACACAGGUGGCACAUGGCUGUACUCAGCUCGUGUCGUGAGAUGUUGGGUUAAGUCCCGCAACGAGCGCAACCCUUCCCCCUAGUUGCCAUCAUUAGGUUGGGCGCUCUAGGGGGACUGCCGGUGAUAAGCCGAGAGGAAGGUGGGGAUGAGGUCAAGUCUUCAUGGCCCUUACGGCAUGGGUUCCACACGUGUUCCAAUGGCGGUGACAAAGGGCAGCGAACCCGGGAGGGGGAGUUAUUCCUUAAAAGCGGUCUCAGUUCAGAUUGCAGUCUGCAACUCGAGUGCAUGAAGUCGGAAUCGCUAGUAAUCGUGAAUCAGAACGUCACGGUGAAUACGUUCCCGGGCCUUGUACACACCGCCCGUCACACCAUGGGAGUUGGUCUUACCAGACGUAGCUGCGCCAACCGCAAGGAGGCAGGCGACCACGGUAGGGUCAGCGACUGGGGUGAAGUCGUAACAAGGUAGCCGUAGGGGAACCUGCGGCUGGAUCACCUCCUU